rnacentral:rRNA from 1 species
CCUACGGGAGGCAGCAGUGGGGAAUAUUGCACAAUGGGGGAAACCCUGAUGCAGCGACGUCGCGUGAGUGAAGAAGUAUUUCGGUAUGUAAAGCUCUAUCAGCAGGGAAGAAAAUGACGGUACCUGAUCAAGAAGCGCCGGCUAACUAAGUGCCAGCAGCGGCGGGAAUACGUAGGGGGCACGCGUUAUACGGAUUUACUGGGUGUAAAGGGAGCGUAGACGGGGAUGAAAGUUAGAAGUGAAAGCCCGGGGCUCAACUCCGGGACUGCUUUUGAAACUGUGUGACUGGAGUGCAGGAGAGGUAAGCGGAAUGCGUGGUGUAGCGGUGAAAUGCGUAGAUAUCAGGAAGAACACCAGUGGCGAAGGCAGCUUACUGGACUGUAACUGACGUUGAGGCUCGAAAGCGUGGGGAGCAAACAGGAUUAGAUACCCGAGUAGUC